ACGAUUGAGGCGCGGUUUUCAUCAGUACUGUCCGAACAGGAGGCGAAUGCUCCGAUGACCGGACACAAAAGGGUCUGCCGCCGAAGAGGGCGUUUCGUUCGCUGACGUCUGUCUGGACGGGUACGAGAACAUCUGCCCGGCUGUCACCGGUUUGCUCCCGUGAUGCGCUAUCG
rnacentral:ncRNA from 1 species